rnacentral:misc_RNA from 1 species
UUUAUUUAUUUAUUUUUAUCUUUAUAUAUCAGACUAGAUUUUAAACCCAAGUUUUUUAUAACUAAAGGCUACCCACCGACACUACAUCAACCACUUAUUAUAAGAUGGAGGAAGGGUAAACGUUAGUAGAAUACUAAUGGAUACCGGUCUAGUGGAAGCAACAUGGAAUAGGUACACAGAGGAAAUUGGAAAAAAAUAUUUCAAAAAAUAAGGAAUUUUUUGAUAAUGAUCCUUCCGCAGGCUCACCUACGGAAA